rnacentral:tRNA from 1 species
UUCUAAUAUGGCAGAUUAGUGCAAUAGAUUUAAGCUCUAUAUAUAAAGUAUUUUACUUUUAUUAGAAA